rnacentral:rRNA from 1 species
AUUGAACGCUGGCGGCAUGCUUUACACAUGCAAGUCGAACGGUAACAGGCCGCAAGGUGCUGACGAGUGGCGAACGGGUGAGUAAUGCAUCGGAACGUGCCCAGUCGUGGGGGAUAACUACUCGAAAGAGUAGCUAAUACCGCAUACGAUCUAUGGAUGAAAGCGGGGGACCGUAAGGCCUCGCGCGAUUGGAGCGGCCGGUGUCAGAUUAGGUAGUUGGUGGGGUAAAGGCUCACCAAGCCAACGAUCUGUAGCUGGGCUGAGAGGACGACCAGCCACACUGGGACUGAGACACGGCCCAGACUCCUACGGGAGGCGGCAGUGGGGAAUUUUGGACAAUGGGCGCAAGCCUGAUCCAGCAAUGCCGCGUGCAGGAAGAAGGCCUUCGGGUUGUAAACUGCUUUUGUACGGAACGAAACGGCUCUGGUUAAUACCCGGGGCUAAUGACGGUACCGUAAGAAUAAGCACCGGCUAACUACGUG